UACGGGGGGAGCAAACGUUGUUCGGAAUCACUGGGCGUAAAGGGCGCGUAGGCGGCUAGGUAAGUGGGGUGUUAAAUCUCCCGGCUCAACCGGGAACCUGCACCUCAUACUGCUUGGCUUGAGUACAGCAGAGGAGACUGGAAUUCCCGGUGUAGCGGUGAAAUGCGUAGAUAUCAGGAGGAACACCGGUGGCGAAGGCGGAUCUCUGGGCCAUUACUGACGCUGAGGAGCGAAAGCGUGGGUAGCAAACAGG
rnacentral:rRNA from 1 species